rnacentral:rRNA from 1 species
UGAGGAAUAUUGGUCAAUGGGCGGGAGCCUGAACCAGCCAAGCCGCGUGAAGGAGGAAGGCGCCAGGCGUCGUAACUUCUUUUGUCGGGGAACAAAGGGCGCCACGCGUGGCGUUGUGAGUGUACCCGAAGAAAAAGCAUCGGCUAACUCCGUGCC